rfam:Trichuris muris Edinburgh genomic scaffold, scaffold233
CUCUCUUAAGGGCAUGCCAAAUGCCUCGUCAUGUAAUUAGUGACGCGGCAGAACGACGAGGGUCAUCGGCGUGAGUAACUAUGACUCCCUUAUGAGACUAGCCUUAUCCUAUUCUCAAAAUUUGAAUGGGUAAGAAGGCCGAUUUGCUUUCCGAAAUCGUUCAUCUUCUGCAGGAAUGCGUUGAACGACUAGUGGGCUAGUUUUGGUAAGCAGAACUGACGAUGUGGGAUGAACCGAACGUCAGGUUAUGGUGCCCAAUGUUCGGUGCUCAUCAGACACCAUGAAAGGUCGAUAUAGACAGCAGGACGGUGGCCAUGGAAGUCGGAACCCGCCAAAAAGUGUUUAACAACUCAUCUGCCGAAUGGACUAGCCCUGAAAAUGGAUGGCGCUCGAGCGCCCAGCCUGUACCUGACCGCUUUGGCAAUGUUGUUAACCGUCUCGCGCGUACUUCUUUGCAAGCGGACGACCGAAGUCCAAGGCGUGUAGGAAGAGGUCGCGACGGUGUGCGUUGAAGGUGUGGAGCGUGAGCUCUCCCGGAGCCGCCGUCGGUG